rnacentral:rRNA from 1 species
UACGUAGGGGGCAAGCGUUGUCCGGAAUCAUUGGGCGUAAAGAGCGCGUAGGCGGCCCUGUAAGUCCGCUGUGAAAGUCAAGGGCUCAACCCUUGAAUGCCGGUGGAUACUGCAGGGCUAGAGUCCGGAAGAGGCGAGUGGAAUUCCUGGUGUAGCGGUGAAAUGCGUAGAUAUCAGGAGGAAUACCGGUGGUGUAGACGGCUCUCUGGACCGCCACUGACGCUGAGACACGAAAGCGUGGGUAGCAAACAGG